rnacentral:rRNA from 1 species
AGAGUUUGAUCCUGGCUCAGGACGAACGCUGGCGGCGUGCUUAACACAUGCAAGUCGAACGAGAAUCUGCUGAAGGAGGAUUCGUCCAACGGAAGCAGAGGAAAGUGGCGGACGGGUGAGUAACGCGUGAGGAACCUGCCUUGAAGAGGGGGACAACAGUUGGAAACGACUGCUAAUACCGCAUGACGCAUAGAGGUCGCAUGAUCUUUAUGCCAAAGAUUUAUCGCUUCAAGAUGGCCUCGCGUCUGAUUAGCUAGUUGGCGGGGUAACGGCCCACCAAGGCGACGAUCAGUAGCCGGACUGAGAGGUUGAACGGCCACAUUGGGACUGAGAUACGGCCCAGACUCCUACGGGAGGCAGCAGUGGGGAAUAUUGGGCAAUGGGCGCAAGCCUGACCCAGCAACGCCGCGUGAAGGAAGAAGGCUUUCGGGUUGUAAACUUCUUUUAAGAGGGAAGAGCAGAAGACGGUACCUCUAGAAUAAGCCACGGCUAACUACGUGCCAGCAGCCGCGGUAAUACGUAGGUGGCAAGCGUUGUCCGGAUUUACUGGGUGUAAAGGGCGUGCAGCCGGGUCUGCAAGUCAGAUGUGAAAUCCAUGGGCUCAACCCAUGAACUGCAUUUGAAACUGUAGAUCUUGAGUGUCGGAGGGGCAAUCGGAAUUCCUAGUGUAGCGGUGAAAUGCGUAGAUAUUAGGAGGAACACCAGUGGCGAAGGCGGAUUGCUGGACGAUAACUGACGGUGAGGCGCGAAAGUGUGGGGAGCAAACAGGAUUAGAUACCCUGGUAGUCCACACUGUAAACGAUGAAUACUAGGUGUGCGGGGACUGACCCCCUGCGUGCCGCAGUAAACACAAUAAGUAUUCCACCUGGGGAGUACGAUCGCAAGGUUGAAACUCAAAGGAAUUGACGGGGGCCCGCACAAGCGGUGGAUUAUGUGGUUUAAUUCGAAGCAACGCGAAGAACCUUACCAGGG